UUUCGGAAUUUUUCUGAGAUAUAGGGAAAAGAGGAGACACAAAUGUUGACACGGUGUGGGUGGAGGUGAACACAGAGAGAACAUAUUYUGUGAUKCUCUACACAUAAAAGAGAUCAUUUAAUAGAUAUAGUAAGAURCGCAUUCCAUACGUAUAAUAAUAGAUAUAURURUUUCAUAUUARUGAGAGCAUACAUUAAAAAGACUGGGGAGGCGGGGGAUSUUACACACAUACAUGAUAGUAAAUAACAGAUMUGUGUWUAGGAGUCUUCGUCUAAAUUGUCAAACGGCAUAUAGUAACMCAUACAUGUAAAACAUAUAACAAAGAGAAGGUGGCAGACUGGCAUCUCUACAUAUACAUUAAUUAUAUAUUGUGUGUGUAAAUCAUCUUAGCAAUGAUCCACCUGCGGCCACGGCUACCGCAACCUGUUACGAUGUUUUUUA
rnacentral:rRNA from 1 species